UACGAAGGGGGCGAGCGUUGUUCGGAUUUAUUGGGCGUAAAGAGCUCGUAGGCGGUUCGGCAAGUCAGAUGUAAAAACUCCAGGCUCAACUUGGAGAGGCCAUCUGAUACUGCCGUGACUAGAGUCCGGUAGAGGAGCACGGAAUUCCUGGUGUAGCGGUGAAAUGCGCAGAUAUCAGGAGGAACACCAGCGGCGAAGGCGGUGCUCUGGGCCGGAACUGACGCUGAGGAGCGAAAGCGUGGGGAGCGAACAGG
rnacentral:rRNA from 1 species